rnacentral:rRNA from 1 species
CGUAGGGGGCGAGCGUUGUCCGGAUUUAUUGGGCGUAAAGAGCUCGUAGGCGGUUUGGCAAGUCGGGUGUGAAAACUCCGGGCUCAACUCGGAGACACCACUCGAUACUGCCAUGACUCGAGUCCGGUAGGGGAGUGCGGAAUUCCUGGUGUAGCGGUGAAAUGCGCAGAUAUCAGGAGGAACACCGGUGGCGAAGGCGGCACUCUGGGCCGGUACUGACGCUGAGGAGCGAAAGCGUGGGGAGCGAACAGGAUUAGAUACCCUGGUAGUCCACGCCGUAAACGUUGGGCACUAGGUGUGGGGGCUCGAUCGACGGGCUCCGUGCCGUAGCUAACGCAUUAAGUGCCCCGCCUGGGAAGUACGGCCGCAAGGCUA